rnacentral:lncRNA from 1 species
AUGAUCUCAUGGCUCUGCCCAUGUAAGCCAGCGCCAGCACUUUGUCUCUCCCAGUGCGGUCGUGACCAGCUUAGAGCGAUGGUUGUCGACAGCUUUCUCCUUAUCCCCAGCCUCCUGCUCCUGGUGGCUGGGGUGUCUCUGCUCACUGCUUCCUGGCGCCGACAGGGUUCUGACCGGCGCCAACAAUGGUGGAUGUGGUGGCUGCAAGUGAUGGCAUCGAAGUCAGGUGCUGAGAGGCAGGCAGGCAGGCACAGGAGCCCCCGGUGCAGGCCACAUUGCUCCCAGCAGCAAGCAUCAGGAUGGAAGGGCAAUCCCAUCCUGCCCCAUCCCUUCCAGCCAGGAAAGACCCGGCCUUUGUUGCUGCGCAGUGCAUGCCCCUCUCUUCACAUGGACUCUGCCACUGGUACAAUGAGCUCUGUGGGGAAACCCGGCAGGCUUCCCAGACAGGACCAGCGCCCGCAGGUUCUGGUGGCACGUGGGAUCCCCAGGACGCUCAGUCAGCGUCCUAGGCGAGGCGGUGGAGUUGAAGACCUGCCACCUGAGAUCUCCAACUUCACAAAGCCACCAGUGAAAGGGACGGUCUUCCAGGAGGGCCUCGUUCACACAGAGGAGAGAAAACGCUGGUGGGACUACGAGACCAAGAGGCUUUUUUGGCGUAUGCACUCCCCAGCACUUCCCAAAGUGCACAGGAAAGCAGGAGCAGCUGCAAGACCAUCCCGAGGACCAGCUUUGAGCCUGGGGAGAAAAGCAGAUGGCAAAGCUGAAGCCCGCCAGCCCUUCAACUCUGGCUUCAGUGAGGAGCACAGAGAAAUCGGAAAUGCUCGCUACGGAAAGUCUCUACUGGCAGCUCCUGGUGUCCCUAAAAUGGCCCAACACUAA